GAUGAACGCUGGCGGCGUGCCUAAUACAUGCAAGUCGAGCGAACAGACGAGGAGCUUGCUCCUCUGACGUUAGCGGCGGACGGGUGAGUAACACGUGGAUAACCUACCUAUAAGACUGGGAUAACUUCGGGAAACCGGAGCUAAUACCGGAUAAUAUAUUGAACCGCAUGGUUCAAUAGUGAAAGACGGUUUUGCUGUCACUUAUAGAUGGAUCCGCGCCGCAUUAGCUAGUUGGUAAGGUAACGGCUUACCAAGGCAACGAUGCGUAGCCGACCUGAGAGGGUGAUCGGCCACACUGGAACUGAGACACGGGCCAGACUCCUACGGGAGGCAGCAGUAGGGAAUCUUCCGCAAUGGGCGAAAGCCUGACGGAGCAACGCCGCGUGAGUGAUGAAGGUCUUCGGAUCGUAAAACUCUGUUAUUAGGGAAGAACAAAUGUGUAAGUAACUAUGCACGUCUUGACGGUACCUAAGCAGAAAGCCACGGCUAACUACGU
rnacentral:rRNA from 1 species